rnacentral:rRNA from 1 species
GACGAACGCUGGCGGCGUGCCUAAUACAUGCAAGUCGAGCGAAGUUUUUCUGGUGCUUGCACUAGAAAAACUUAGCGGCGAACGGGUGAGUAACACGUAAAGAACCUGCCUCAUAGACGGGGACAACUAUUGGAAACGAUAGCUAAUACCGGAUAACAGCAUAAAUCGCAUGAUAUAUGUUUAAAAGUUGGUUUCGGCUAACACUAUGAGAUGGCUUUGCGGUGCAUUAGCUAGUUGGUGGGGUAAAGGCCUACCAAGGCGACGAUGCAUAGCCGACCUGAGAGGGUGAUCGGCCACACUGGGACUGAGACACGGCCCAGACUCCUACGGGAGGCAGCAGUAGGGAAUCUUCCGCAAUGGGCGAAAGCCUGACGGAGCAACGCCGCGUGAGUGAAGAAGGAUUUCGGUUCGUAAAGCUCUGUUGUUAGGGAAGAAUGAUUGUGUAGUAACUAUACACAGUAGAGACGGUACCUAACCAGAAAGCCACGGCUAACUACGUGCCAGCAGCCGCGGUAAUACGUAGGUGGCAAGCGUUGUCCGGAAUUAUUGGGCGUAAAGCGCGCGCAGGUGGUUUAAUAAGUCUGAUGUGAAAGCCCACGGCUCAACCGUGGAGGGUCAUUGGAAACUGUUAAACUUGAGUGCAGGAGAGAAAAGUGGAAUUCCUAGUGUAGCGGUGAAAUGCGUAGAGAUUAGGAGGAACACCAGUGGCGAAAGCGGCUUUUUGGCCUGUAACUGACACUGAGGCGCGAAAGCGUGGGGAGCAAACAGG